rnacentral:lncRNA from 1 species
AGUGUCGCCCUGACAACCGCCUGUCUACAACGGCAGCUCUCGCUUUAAGAAGCCCGACAAAAGCACAGCUAUCGGUCACUGAGCGCCCGGAGACUGACGGUCUGCUGAAGUGGGACCAUACAAACAUCAGUGAUCCCGUGCAAAGGGAGCAACUCAGCAUGAAGGAGGUGGUCAGACGGAGCUCUCGAGGGCGCCCAGUUGAAAGGAGCGGCCCAAAACCCAGUUCUGUUCCUGGCAGGGAAGGUGGGAGAGGUGGAGAGUGGAAGUAGGGGGAGGGGGUGGCCGGCUGCCAUGUCACUUAAAGGAGCCAGCUGAUUCAGAGCGGAGGAUCUGGCUCAGACUCCCACUCAGACAGGAACUGAGACUGCAGCUGGUCAACGAAGACGUGACUGAAUCCAGAAUAACCAGAGACUGAUUUCAUGUGGACAAUUUUUUUUUUACUAUUUAUACAUUUAUCUGACGAGAGUCAGUAUUGAAUUAACAUGCAUUAUCCUAAUGUAAUUAUUUUCUAACAUUUAAGACGCCCACUUGAAGCCUUUGCUGAUUCUUUACAGAGCUUCCACAGACCACCCCCACUUCCUACAAAUGUAAUUGUUACACUCUAAUUUACCAUAAAAUGAGCACUCCUGUUAUAGUAGGCUGUGAAAUCGUUUUUAAUUUCUAUUAACCCUUAAAUUAGAUGUGAAAGAAACUCUUACAUUCUGCAAAGCAAGCUGUAUUGGAGGUGAUUCUUGUGACAUUUACAUUUCAAGUAUUCGAUUUGUUUUUUAACAUUCCGGGGUUGUGACGUUUACUGUCCGUGCCUUAUUGGCAUGCAAAAUCAGACCCAGAGCUUUGGAGUUAAAGAUGCCCGGAGAGCGUGGAUCAGUAUCUCGCUGUGACACGGUGCACACACGGCACUGCCACAUCUUGGCAGCGUACGGCCUGCGCAGCCAGCCCUGAGGAUAUCGCAUGCUAAUGCAGCGGCCUAUUUGCAUGUACUCACAUGUUCCCUUCACUGCAAAUGUGAAACACUUUCAUAACCAAUGCUGGCCCGUUCCCGGCAGCUCAGCAUCCAAGUAUGGUAAUUCAGCCAGAUAGAGCCUGGGAGGAGAGAUGCAUGUGAAAAAGGGACAGAGGGUGAAGACAGACAUUACUUCCUUCCAUCCCAUCUAUCCAUCUAUCCAUCAUGCUUCUGUUGAUUUGAUUCCCCUCUCUGCCAUUUUCUGCCAUUAUCACUGAUGAUAUUACAGCUGCCUGUUACAUUUAGAGGUCAAAACUGUACUUUCCUGUAUUAAAAACAAAUUUCUCUGUCCCGAUCCACUGGUCAGAGGCAGCAUUAUCCAAGUCAGAGGCUGCAUUUGCUUUAUUGAAAAAGCCACAAGCUUAGAGGACAGAGCAUUAGACAUUAGGAUAGAAACCAUCAUUUGAGAUGAAAUGUCAACGGGCCAUAUCCAAAACAGACCAUUUUUCAGUCUUUAUGUGCCAUUAUGUCUAAAAUAAUGAUUUCCUCGUCUCCUACAAUCUAAUGAAAGAUAAGUGAUGGUGUGGAAGCAGUCUCCUUUGUUUGAAUCGAUGAACUGUCAGAAGAGUAAGGGUGGAAAAGAAAGUAAAUGUUACUGUGCAUUGAUCAAUAAAAGUAGAGUUGAAUAUGAG